rnacentral:rRNA from 1 species
UACGAAGGGGGCUAGCGUUGUUCGGAAUCACUGGGCGUAAAGGGCGCGUAGGCGGCUUCGCAAGUCGGAUGUGAAAUCCCUCGGCUCAACCGAGGACGUGCAUACGAAACUGCGGAGCUUGAGUGCUGAAGAGGAUCGCGGAAUUCCCGGUGUAGCAGUGAAAUGCGUAGAGAUCGGGAGGAACAUCAGUUGCGAAGGCGGCUCACUGGCUCGAUACUGACGCUGAGGUGCGAAAGCGUGGGGAGCAAACAGG